rnacentral:piRNA from 1 species
UGGGCUUAUCCUGACCCAUCCAGAUGAUC